UGUGAUGUGGUUGAAUUGGUUAAAGCACCGGACUAGCGAUACAAAGUUGUGGGAUCAAACCCCAUCAAAACAA
rnacentral:tRNA from 1 species